UAUAUACUCCCUCCGUCCCAAAAUAAGUGACUCAAGUUUGUACUAACUUUAUAAAAUAAGUGACUCAAGUUUGUACUAACUUUAUACUAAAGUUAGUACAAACUUGAGUCACUUAUUUUGGGACGGAGGGAGUAUAUC
rnacentral:pre_miRNA from 1 species